rnacentral:rRNA from 1 species
GGGCAAUYUGCCCUGCACUCUGGGACAAGCCCUGGAAACGKGGUCUAAUACCGGAUAUGACCGUCUGCCGCAUGGUGGAUGGUGUAAAGCUCCGGCGGUGCAGGAUGAGCCCGCGGCCUAUCAGCUUGUUGGUGAGGUAGUGGCUCACCAAGGCGACGACGGGUAGCCGGCCUGAGAGGGCGACCGGCCACACUGGGACUGAGACACGGCCCAGACUCCUACGGGAGGCAGCAGUGGGGAAUAUUGCACAAUGGGCGAAAGCCUGAUGCAGCGACGCCGCGUGAGGGAUGACGGCCUUCGGGUUGUAAACCUCUUUCAGCAGGGCAAGAAGCGAAAGUGACGGUACCUGCAGAAGAAGCGCCGGCUAACUACGUGCCAGCAGCCGCGGUAAUACGUASGGCGCAAGCGUUGUCCGGAAUUAUUGGGCGUAAAGAGCUCGUAGGCGGCUUGUCACGUCGGUUGUGAAAGCCCGGGGCUUAACCCCGGGUCUGCAGUCGAUACGGGCAGGCUAGAGUUCGGUAGGGGAGAUCGGAAUUCCUGGUGUAGCGGUGAAAUGCGCAGAUAUCAGGAGGAACACCGGUGGCGAAGGCGGAUCUCUGGGCCGAUACUGACGCUGAGGAGCGAAA